rnacentral:lncRNA from 13 species
AUGAUACGGAGGAAAGCCCCCAGCUUUGUUUGGAGUGGGGGAGGCAUUGCCCCAUCCCCAUCCACCCUCGGAGGGGAGAUGCACUCGUGCAGGGUGGGAUCUGUGCAGAGGAAGGUCUGUAAGACAGCCUCCUUCUCUGUGGCAUUUCUAGCCCAUGGAAGGGGGUCCCAGACCUUCCUCACACCCCUGGCGGCCCGCGGAGCCUCCCAGCCCCCUCACCAGCUGGCAGUGCUGUGCUCGGUGCUGUACAACCCCACAAAGCAGGCGGGGACAGCAGCAGGCAGAGGGGGACACAGCCAUGUGGUGCGGGACAGGAAACCUGGCUGGCUGCACGGCCUGGGACAUCCCAGCCACGGAGGUCCAACACCUGCCGUGGUCAAAAGCCUCCCCGUGCCCCCAGCCAUGACCGCAAAGCACCCCCGCAAAUUCCUGGGGACCCCGGUGACGGGGAAACUGAGGCACGGAGGGAAGCAGCGCAGCCGGGACAGGAGCGGGGAAGACUUACGAGCCCGGGCUCGGCUCUCGGAGGCGAAGAGGAGCAGGAGGCACCGGAGGAGGAAGGCGAGGGGACCCGCCCCGGGAAGCAUCGCAGCCCGGUGCUCGGUGCCCUGGGGCUUCGGUCCCGGUGCCCGGGGGUGCGCUGCCCGAUGUGCCGGUGAUGUCUCGGAGUCUGCGCUGGGGGCUUCGCUCCCGCUGCUGGUGCCCGGCGGUGCCGCGGUGUCGAUUGCGGCGUCGGGCGCCUCGGAGGACGGCGCGAUGCCCGGAGGUGCCGGUGCCGAGGCUGCCGGUGCCCGGGGAUGUCGGUGCCGGUGUCAGCGGCGUCGGUGCCCGGCAGCGCCUGUGGCCGAGGCUGCGGGUGCCCGGAGGUGUCGCGGUGCCGAUGCCGGUGGUGCCGGUGCCCGGGGGUGCCGGUGCCGGUGCCCGGCGGGGCUCGUCUCGCUCCGAUCAAAGGCGCCUCCUUUAGGGAGAGCCGAGGAGUUGUUUGUUGGUAUUAAAGGCGGAGAUGGAAGCGGGAGGGGGGAUCCGCAGGGUGGGUAUUUUUUUUUUUUU